rnacentral:rRNA from 1 species
AAGCAUAUCAAUAAGCGGAGGAAAAGAAACUAACCAGGAUUCCCUUAGUAACUGCGAGUGAAGUGGGAAGAGCUCAAAUUUGUAAUCUGGCGGCCUUUGGACGUCCGAGUUGUAAUCUAAAGAAGUGCUACCUGUGCUGGACCGUGUACAAGUCUUCUGGAAUGGAGCAUCACAGAGGGUGAGAAUCCCGUCUUUGACAUGGACUGCCAGUGCUCAAUAGGUGUGCUCUCGAAGAGUCGAGUUGUUUGGGAAUGCAGCUCAAAAUGGGUGGUAAAUGCCAUCUAAAGCUAAAUAUUGGCGAGAGACCGAUAGCGAACAAGUACCGUGAGGGAAAGAUGAAAAGAACUUUGGAAAGAGAGUUAAACAGUACGUGAAAUUGCUGAAAGGGAAACGCUUGAAGUCAGUCGCGUCUGUCAGGAAUCAACCUUGCUCUUGCUGGGUGUACUUUCUGUCGGAUGGGUCAGCAUCAGUUUCGGUCGCUGGACAAAGUUCUUUGGGAAUGUGGCAUCCUCGGAUGUGUUAUAGCCCUUGGGACACAUGCAGCGGUCGGGAUUGAGGAACUCAGCACGCCCGUGAGGGCUGGGGCUUUUUGCCCACAUAACUGUGCUUAGGAUGCUGGCGUAAUGGCUUUAAUCGACCCGUCUUGAAACACGGACCAAGGAGUCUAACAUGCCUGCGAGUGUUUGAGUGGAAAACUCAUGCGCGCAAUGAAAGUGAUAGUUGAGAUCCCUGUCAUGGGGAGCAUCGAUGCCCAGACCAGACCUUUUGUGACGGAUCUGCGGUAGAGCAUGCAUGUUGGGACCCGAAAGAUGGUGAACUAUGCCUGAAUAGGGUGAAGCCAGAGGAAACUCUGGUGGAGGCUCGUAGCGAUUCUGACGUGCAAAUCGAUCGUCAAAUUUGGGUAUAGGGGCGAAAGACU